rnacentral:rRNA from 1 species
AAAAAGCGGAGGAAAAGAAACCAACCGGGAUUGCCUUAGUAACGGCGAGUGAAGCGGCAAAAGCUCAAAUUUGAAAUCUGGUACCUUCGGUGCCCGAGUUGUAAUUUGGAGAGGGCAACUUUGGGGCCGUUCCUUGUCUAUGUUCCUUGGAACAGGACGUCAUAGAGGGUGAGAAUCCCGUGUGGCGAGGAGUGCGGUUCUUUGUAAAGUGCCUUCGAAGAGUCGAGUUGUUUGGGAAUGCAGCUCUAAGUGGGUGGUAAAUUCCAUCUAAAGCUAAAUAUUGGCGAGAGACCGAUAGCGAACAAGUACAGUGAUGGAAAGAUGAAAAGAACUUUGAAAAGAGAGUGAAAAAGUACGUGAAAUUGUUGAAAGGGAAGGGCAUUUGAUCAGACAUGGUGUUUUGUGCCCUCUGCUCCUUGUGGGUAGGGGAAUCUCGCAUUUCACUGGGCCAGCAUCAGUUUUGGUGGCAGGAUAAAUCCAUAGGAAUGUAGCUUGCCUCGGUAAGUAUUAUAGCCUGUGGGAAUACUGCCAGCUGGGACUGAGGACUGCGACGUAAGUCAAGGAUGCUGGCAUAAUGGUUAUAUGCCGCCCGUCUUGACCC